rnacentral:tRNA from 1 species
GCCGCAGUGGCGGAAUUGGUAGACGCGCACGUUUCAGGGGCGUGUAUUCGCAAGGAUGUGUGGGUUCGACUCCCACCUGCGGCA